rnacentral:rRNA from 1 species
AUUGAACGCUGGCGGCAGGCCUAACACAUGCAAGUCGAGCGCGCGGCGGACGGGUGAGUAAUGUCUGGGAAACUGCCUGAUGGAGGGGGAUAACUACUUGAAACGGUAGCUAAUACCGCAUACCCUCAGAUGUGCCCAGAUGGGAUUAGCUAGUAGGUGGGGGAACGGCUCCCCUAGGCGACGAUCCCUAGCUGGUCUGAGGGGAUGACCAGCCACACUGGAACUGAGACACGGUCCAGACUCCUACGGGAGGCAGGAGGGAGGAAUAUUGAACAAUGGGCGCAAGCCUGAUGCAGCCAUGCCACGUGUAUGAAGAAGGACGUCGGGUUGUAAAGUACUUUCAGCGGGGAGGCGUUACCCGCAGAAGAAGCACCGGCUAACUCCGUGCCAGCAGCCGCGGAAUAC